rnacentral:rRNA from 1 species
AGCGAACGCUGGCGGCAGGCUUAACACAUGCAAGUCGAGCGGGCGUAGCAAUACGUCAGCGGCAGACGGGUGAGUAACGCGUGGGAACGUACCUUUUGGUUCGGAACAACACAGGGAAACUUGUGCUAAUACCGGAUAAGCCCUUACGGGGAAAGAUUUAUCGCCGAAAGAUCGGCCCGCGUCUGAUUAGCUAGUUGGUGAGGUAAUGGCUCACCAAGGCGACGAUCAGUAGCUGGUCUGAGAGGAUGAUCAGCCACAUUGGGACUGAGACACGGCCCAAACUCCUACGGGAGGCAGCAGUGGGGAAUAUUGGACAAUGGGGGCAACCCUGAUCCAGCCAUGCCGCGUGAGUGAUGAAGGCCCUAGGGUUGUAAAGCUCUUUUGUGCGGGAAGAUAAUGACGGUACCGCAAGAAUAAGCCCCCGGCUAAACUUCGUGCCAGCAGCCGCGGUAAU